rnacentral:rRNA from 1 species
AGCGAACGCUGGCGGCAGGCUUAACACAUGCAAGUCGAGCGGGCCCUUCGGGGUCAGCGGCGGACGGGUGAGUAACGCGUGGGAACGUGCCUUCUGGUUCGGAAUAACCCUGGGAAACUAGGGCUAAUACCGGAUACGCCCUUUUGGGGAAAGGUUUACUGCCGGAAGAUCGGCCCGCGCCUGGUUAGCGAGUUGGUGGGGUAACGGCCUACCAAGGCGACGAUCAGUAGCUGGUCUGAGAGGAUGAUCAGACACACUGGGACUGAGACACGGCCCAGACUCCUACGGGAGGCAGCAGUGGGGAAUAUUGGACAAUGGGCGCAAGCCUGAUCCAGCCAUGCCGCGUGAGUGAUGAAGGCCUUAGGGUUGUAAAGCUCUUUUAUCCGGGACGAUAAUGACGGUACCGGAGGAAUAAGCCCCGGCUAACUUCGUGCCAGCCGCCGCAGUAACAC